CACGUAGGGCGCAAGCGUUGUCCGGAAUUAUUGGGCGUAAAGAGCUCGUAGGCGGUCUGUUGCGUCUGCUGUGAAAACUCGGGGCUUAACCCCGAGCCUGCAGUGGAUACGGGCAGACUAGAGUGAGGUAGGGGAGAAUGGAAUUCCUGGUGUAGCGGUGAAAUGCGCAGAUAUCAGGAGGAACACCGAUGGCGAAGGCAGUUCUCUGGGCCACGACUGACGCUGAGAAGCGAAAGCGUGGGGAGCGAACAGG
rnacentral:rRNA from 1 species